AUUGAACGCUGGCGGAAUGCUUUACACAUGCAAGUCGAGCGGCAGCACGGGGGCAACCCUGGUGGCGAGCGGCGAACGGGUGAGUAAUACAUCGGAACAUGCCCAGUCGUGGGGGAUAACACUUCGAAAGAAGUGCUAAUACCGCAUACGUCCUGAGGGGGAAAGCGGGGGAUCGCAAGACCUCGCGCGAUUGGAGUGGCCGAUGUCAGAUUAGCUAGUUGGUGGGGUAAAGGCCUACCAAGGCAACGAUCUGUAGCUGGUCUGAGAGGAUGAUCAGCCACAGUGGGACGGAGACCCGCCCAGGCCCCCUGGGGGGGGCGGCGGUGGGGAUUUUGGAAAAAGGGGGGAAGCCCGGACCCACCCUUCCCGGGGGGGGAAAGAGGGCCUUCGGUUGUUAAACCUCUGCGGGCGGAAAGAAACGGGUGAGUCCAAAAAUAGUUUGCAAAUAAGGGUACCGAAAAAAAAAGCCCCGCCUACCUACGUC
rnacentral:rRNA from 1 species